CAAUAGCGUAUAUUAAAGUUGUUGCGGUUAAAAAGCUCGUAGUUGGAGUUCUGCCAGGUGCCGCCUGUCCGCCCCAGUGGUGAGUACGUGGCGCGCAUUUGGCCCUUUCAAGGGGAGCGUAUCUGCACUUUAUUGUGUGGUGCGGGAUCCUUGACUUUUACUUUGAGGAAAUAGGAGUGUUCCAAGCAGGCUCUCGUCGUGCACAGCUCAGCAUGGAAUAAUAGCAUUGGACCUCGAUUCUAAGCUGUUGGUUGCCAGAAGCGAGGUAAUGAUGAAGAGGGAUAGUUGGGGGCAUUCGUAUUUAACUGUCAGAGGUGAAAUUUUUGGAUUUGUUAAAGACGGACUACUGCGAAAGCAUCUGCCAUGGAUGUUUUCAUUGA
rnacentral:rRNA from 1 species